rnacentral:siRNA from 1 species
UGCACCGACGGCCGCUCCGCCC